rnacentral:rRNA from 1 species
GACGAACGCUGGCGGCGUGCUUAACACAUGCAAGUCGAACGGAAAGGCCCUGCUUUUGUGGGGUGCUCGAGUGGCGAACGGGUGAGUAACACGUGAGUAACCUGCCCUUGACUUUGGGAUAACUUCAGGAAACUGGGGCUAAUACCGUAUAGGAGCUCCUGCUGCAUGGUGGGGGUUGGAAAGUUUCGGCUGUUGGGGAUGGACUGGCGGCUUAUCAGCUUGUUGGUGGGGUAGUGGCUUACCAAGGCUUUGACGGGUAGCCGGCCUGAGAGGGUGACCGGCCACCUUGGGACUGAGAGACGGCCCAGACUGCUACGGGAGGCAGCAGCGGGGAAUAUUGCACAAUGGGCGGAAGCCUGAUGCAGCAACGCCGCGUGCGGGAUGACGGCCUUCGGGUUGUAAACCGCUUUCGCCUGUGACGAAGCGUGAGUGACGGUAAUGGGUAAAGAAGCACCGGCUAACUACGUG